rnacentral:rRNA from 1 species
GGAAUUCGAUUAACGCGAAGAACCUUACCUGGGUUUGAACUUCAGGUGAAAUCCUCAGAGAUGAGGCCCUCCCUUCGGGGAUACCUGGAGAGGUGCUGCAUGGCUGUCGUCAGCUCGUGUCGUGAGAUGUUGGGUUAAGUCCCGCAACGAGCGCAACCCUUGUCCAUAGUUACUAACGGGUCAUGCCGAGAACUCUAUGGAGACUGCCGGUGAUAAACCGGAGGAAGGUGGGGAUGACGUCAAGUCCUCAUGGCCUUUAUGUCCAGGGCUACACACGUGCUACAAUGGACGGCACAAAGAGUCGCAAUACCGCGAGGUUGAGCUAAUCUCAAAAAACCGUUCUCAGUUCGGAUUGCAGUCUGCAACUCGACCCCAUGAAGUCGGAGUCGCUAGUAAUCGCAGAUCAGCAACGCUGCAGUGAAUACGUUCCCGGGCCUUGUCACACCGAAUCACUA